rnacentral:snRNA from 1 species
AGCUUCGCGCAGUGGCAGUAUCAUAGCCAAUGAGGUUUAUGCGAGGCGCAAUUAUUGCUAAUUGAAAACUUUUCCCAGUAGGGCCAAAUAACUCAAAAACCCAGAAAUGAAUUGUCUAAGUAUAAAUCCACUCUAAAUUAAAGGAACAUUGUUUUGAAG